AGGGACAAUAAAGUACAGCUUUCCGACAUAAAACAAGAACUGAAGAAAACAAAUGACAGACAGAAUGAGGAAGAGGUGAGAAUUGAGGAAACAGAGACCGUGCUUCAAGCAACAUUAAUGAUAAUCAAGUGGCUAACGGCACCAGGCUAAUAGAUCAGGAGGGUCAUGUGAGCAGAGACGAUUUAUGGAAUACCCGAAGAUAAAGAAGGCACUGAUAUGGUUGGCUUUCUGGAUAACUUCUUGAAAAGUGCACGGGACUGGGCACUAGCACCAAAGCCCAACAAUCUGCAGUCAAAGCCACAGUCUAUAGUGGUCAAGUUCAGGAGCUAUCGGACAAAAGAGGAGGUGCUCCAAAGAGCCUGGCAGAAAGGAAAAAAAAAAAAAAAAAAAAAAAAGUCUACGUUGACCACGACUUCCCUCCUGAAGUGCUUAAGCAAUGAGGGGAGUAUGCCGAAGCCAAUAAAGUCUUAAAAGAGGGACAUGGCUUCACGAGGAUUCUCAAUUACUGGGGUGAAGUGCUAAACUGCUACAGAUCAAGAGGAGAUCGGGCUCCUAUCUACUUGGCAGAUGGCGGGGAGACAGCGCGACCAGGGUGGAGAUCAGGAAUCCGACGCAGCGAACAGCUGCACACAACCCAGUAAACACCGCCCCCACUCUCAAUAUAAAAAAAAAAUCUCCAGAAAUUCAGAAAAUCAUCUCCCACAAAAGGAGUCUGACAUUUUACACUCGAGUCGGAAAUGCAGAGAAGUUUAUUUGAUCCCCACUGCUGCGCCCCAUCUUGAUUAUUUGGCCAGAAGAUUGCCAUGCAACUUUAUACAAUACUGCAUACACAAUGGGAAAGUUACUGCAUGGAGGUCACGAACACGCAUUGCUGAAGCCAGCGCCAGCUGAAUGCUGAAGACAGCGCCAGCUGAAUACUGAGGUCUAAGAAGUCCAGAAGUUGAAAUAAAGGCUGUGGACCACUAGUAUAUUCUGACAGAUCCUCAGGCCUGGAAAAACACAGUGUGGUACCCUAGGGUGAUCACACCUGAAGUGCAUUUUAAAGAUGCCUUUAGGCGACACAACUGCGAGUGAAGGCUCCGCCCCCUGACUGUAAGCGCAGAUGGCUGAGACCCGCACCGCACGAUCGCACUUCGACGCACAUACACAAACGCGCACCCACACCCCCUUCACAGACUGUCCGG